GACGAACGCUGGCGGCGUGCUUAACACAUGCAAGUCGAACGAUGAAGCGCCAGCUUGCUGGUGUGGAUUAGUGGCGAACGGGUGAGUAACACGUGAGUAACCUGCCCCCUACUCUGGGAUAAGCCUGGGAAACUGGGUCUAAUACUGGAUAUGACCAAUCACUGCAUGGUGUGUUGGUGGAAAGAUUUUUUGGUGGGGGAUGGACUCGCGGCCUAUCAGCUUGUUGGUGGGGUAAUGGCCUACCAAGGCGACGACGGGUAGCCGGCCUGAGAGGGCGACCGGCCACACUGGGACUGAGAAACGGCCCAGACUCCUACGGGAGGCAGCAGUGGGGAAUAUUGCACAAUGGGCGAAAGCCUGAUGCAGCGACGCCGCGUGAGGGAUGACGGCCUUCGGGUUGUAAACCUCUUUCACCAGGGACGAAGCUAACGUGACGGUACCUGGAGAAGAAGCACCGGCUAACUACGUG
rnacentral:rRNA from 1 species